UACGUAGGGGGCUAGCGUUGUCCGGAAUCAUUGGGCGUAAAGAGCGUGUAGGCGGCCCUGUAAGUCCGCUGUGAAAGUCGGGGGCUCAACCCUCGAAUGCCGGUGGAUACUGUCGGGCUAGAGUGCGGAAGAGGCGAGUGGAAUUCCUGGUGUAGCGGUGAAAUGCGCAGAUAUCAGGAGGAACACCGAUUGCGAAGGCAGCUCGCUGGGACGUCACUGACGCUGAGACGCGAAAGCGUGGGGAGCAAACAGG
rnacentral:rRNA from 1 species